GAAAUCCAGAGCCCAGCCAGGACUUCAACCUGCACACUCUGAUAGGAGAGUCGGGCAUCCCAAGCAGCAUCUUAACUGCUAUGCCAAAUGAUUCUGCCUGGGAGCUGGAAGAACAGAAUGAAGAGCAGAAUAGCUAGAGAAGCAGAGCUGUUAAUGUCAGUAAAAUUGUUCCGCUAAAGAAAGCUCUUCCUGUUGAAACUGGAUGGUAAGAAGAAUGAAGAUGAGCAGCUGUGAUCUUGGAGCAACUGUGUAAACAGGAAGUGAUAGAGAAGCAGGUAGGUCACAGAAGUCUUAAAUAACAACUUUGUAUGCCUAAUGUUCCUCUCCUGCCCCUCUCGCUUUAUGACUCUGUGUUCAGGUUCAUACUGAAUCCCUGAUUUUCAGAGGCAGCAGUACAU